rnacentral:rRNA from 1 species
UACGUAGGGGGCAAGCGUUAUCCGGAAUCAUUGGGCGUAAAGCGCGUGUAGGCGGUUCACCAAGUCCGCUCUGAAAGCCCAGGGCUCAACCCUGGGAGGCGGGUGGAUACUGGUGGACUAGAGUCCGGAAGAGGAGAUUGGAAUUCCUGGUGUAGCGGUGAAAUGCGCAGAUAUCAGGAGGAACACCAACAGCGAAGGCAGAUCUCUGGGACGUGACUGACGCUGGAGA